CUGGCAGUGCUACUUCCUGGAUGAUGGGCAUCUGGUGACCAGAGUUCAGGUGGGGUCACCAGUCACCAUGAGACUUCUAGAGUUGCCAUCAAAGGCAGAAAAAGUAGAUUUCAAGAAGAUCCCCCUUGUGUGGGAGGAAGACAUGCAGAUGCGUUCUAAGUUUCUGGACAGAAAGGUAG